rnacentral:lncRNA from 1 species
CUCCUUAAUGCAUCAUUCUAAACUUACAUUGUCAGCUCAUGGUGAUCUUACGAGGGAAAGAAUUUUAAAUUCAUCAUUGAUAUUUCCUCAAAAGUGUUCUUCUAUUUGGUUUAUUGUUUUUAGUUUAUUGUUUGGUACAAAUUGCUAUAGAUGGGUGGUUCUUUUGACGCUAAUAUGUUGGAUUUUUUUUUUAUUGGCGUGGUAAGGGCAGGGAGUUGAAGCUAUGGAGGGAGCACAUCUGCUUGGAUUGCAUUUGUGGGGCCGACGGGGCACCUGACUGCCGCCAAUUCUUUGCCCCGUCUGGAUACGUAUGAGUUUCACUUUCACUUUUUGAGUGCCAAUUCUUCAAAAACGAAUAAUUGAUGCAUGUUUUUUGGUUAUCUGUGGUCUACAAAGGUUUUAUAAUUUGUCUGUGUUUCUCUUUUCAUUAGUCAUAAGUUGCUGCUUGAGUUUAGUUUUUAUUUUUUUAGUUCAUUGGGAGUUUUAUUGAAGCUUUGGACUCAUAUACAAUUAUCUUUUGGAUGGUUAUAAUAUUAAACUUGUAUUAUUCAAUCAAACAGAGUGACUUUGUAUACAUGGGAGACACUCUUAAUUAUUCAUCCAUGUACAUUUUUAUAUUAAUACGCAGUUUGUAGGUGAUCCUCUCGUGGAAGAUAUUUCUAGAAUGCACAACAACGAUCUAGGCGGAUGAAAUAGGCUAUAAUUUUUAGUUGUGAUAACUUAUUAUGAGUUCUUUUAUGUUCUUAAAGUUGGAAAGUUUAUGUUGGCUGAUUUUUCCAUUUUCAAAAAUUAUUUUACGUGAAGAAAUAAAGUAAUAGAUUGAGCCACGAUGUUGACAAGUUUGUAGAGCCAACCGAUGCAUACAGUAAUUUGUUCGACAACCUGAAUUG